rnacentral:rRNA from 1 species
AUACGUAGGGGGCGAGCGUUGUCCGGAAUGAUUGGGCGUAAAGGGCGCGUAGGCGGCGCGGUAAGUCUGGAGUGAAAGUCCUGCUUUCAAGGUGGGAAUUGCUUUGGAUACUGCCGCGCUUGAGUGCAGGAGAGGUUAUCGGAAUUCCCGGUGUAGCGGUGAAAUGCGUAGAGAUCGGGAGGAACACCAGUGGCGAAGGCGGGUAACUGGACUGCAACUGACGCUGAGGCGCGAAAGUGUGGGGAGCAAACAGGAUUAGAUACCCUGGUAGUCCACACUGUAAACGAUGAAUGCUAGGUGUAAGAGGUAUCGACCCCUUUUGUGCCGGAGUCAACACAAUAAGCAUUCCGCCUGGGGAGUACGGUCGCAAGAUUGAAACUCAAAUGAAUUGGCGGGG